AUGUCUCAGGAAAACAAGUGGGGUUUGGAUGCUCCAGCUGCAGACACUGCCUCAUUUUCCACACGUGAGCCCCCUUUCUCCCCAAAUGCAGAACCCAACAUAGCAGGAGCUGCUCCUGACACAUCCCUCGGGACUACCCCAGCCUCCCUGCUCUUCGUGGACACCAGUAACAACUCAGUGUCUGUGACAAGAGAGGGAGCAGAGGACUUGGAGCCCACUGCCAACACUGCAUCCGCCCCAAACUUCCCUUCUCCAUCAGCUGGAGGGGCACAGCCGACCCCUGGGGCCACUGGGGAACAGGCUGCUGACAGCCCCUUGGGUCUUGGCAUCACCACGCCACCGAGCAGAGGGCUGGAUACGGCCACUGCAGGAGUGAGCGAGAAAGGCGUAACUCUUGCUGUGGAUUUCCAAAGUGGAGCAAGUGCCCCCUCCUUGAGCCCAAACCCCAGGGCUGGGGAGCUGCUUGCAACACGGCAGGACAAGCAGGCGAAUGAGGCCACCAGCGUCAUCUGGGAGCCAGCAGGAGAAACAGUCCCAGCUGCUGAGGAAGGUCCCACUCCUUUAGAGGCUGGCAAUGCAGGAGAUGCAAUAGAUGGUGCUUUUGGUGCAUCUGACUUGUCCCAUCUGCCUCCAGGGAGUGGGACGGUGUUGGGAGCAGCAGGAAACAUGGAGGAAACCUCCCGCCUUGCCGGUGAGACAGAACUGAGCCCAAAUACUUUGCUAGGACCCGAAAGGGAUGAACAGGGAUCUCCAGGAGUGGAUCUGGACAGCCCUAAUUCAGUCCCAUCUCCUGCAGCUAGUGAGGCGCUUGCAGCAUCUGCAGAGCCUGAUGUGCAAAGUACCACCACUUCCCUAGCUGCCUCACUGCUCCCAGCACGCACAGCGCUGCUGCCCGUGGGGACUGUGGCUCCGACUGAGUCAUCCUUGCACCCUGCUCUAUGGGAUGCUGCCACCAGUGGUCUACCAUCCCUUGUGGACAUCCCCACUGGGUCCUCGGCCUCUCUUGCCUCCCCCAGCACUGCUGACUCUCCUCAGCUGGCCCCAGAUGCUGUGGCCAGCACCCUUUCCAGAGCUGACGAUGGAGCAGAGAUGUUGGCGAGCCCCAAGCUUGGUGGUCCCRUGUCCCCAUCCCUUGGGUCGGAGCCACAGGGGAUGGCAGCUGGCACUUCUGAGGGAGCAGGGCUCCCCUCAGCCAAUGGACCAGGCACUGGCUUGAAUCCAGCAUUGGAUGUCCCCAGCCUAGCAUUCCUUGGACCUCCAUUGCCUAUCCCUGGAGGCUGGCUUGGCAUGGGCCCGGGGCUGCCGGCAGCGGAGGGCAGUGAAGCUGGCGCAGAGGAGCAGGUGCUGGAAGGAAGUGGCAGCACAGCCAGGGGUGAGCCCUCCCUGAGCUCCGCUCUGGGCAGUGGGACAGCAGUUGGGACAGAUCAGCUGCCGGACACUGGGUCUCUGUCUGGACCUGCCUCUCCUGAUGAUGUGGUUGCAGCAUCCUCUGUUUUGGAGACUGAUGGAGCAGGACCCAUCCCAGAGKCAGCUCCUGGCCCUGACAGCCCUUCCCAGGCCUCUCUGGACAGCCAGGGUGGCCCAGACCUCGCUGCAGCUCUGGGGGCUGAGAGCACAGGGAACRUGGCAGGGGCAGGAAAUCCAGAGAGCCCAAGCCCUGGUACGGACACCAGUCCUCCAGCCUUCAGCCCACAGCAAGAUCCUGCAAUCCUGGGAGAGCUUUCAGCAGGAGAAGCAGGAGCUUUGACRGAUGCUGAACUGUCCCAUCCAUUGGCUCUUGGGAACGGAGCAGGAGUGGCUACAACCCUGGGAGAAACRUCCCUGCCUGGCCCCGCAGCUCCUGGCASUGCUGGCCUGGAACCUGGCCUUGGGGCAGCUGCAGGAAAAGGGGAUUUGUCCGGUGAAUCCCCCAGCACUGCCGACUCUCCUCAGCUGGCUCCGGGUGCUGUGGCCAGGACCUUUUCUGGGGAUGAUGACAGAGCAGAGAUGCCAUCAGGUCCCAACCUCAGUACUCCCAUGUUCCCAUCCCUUGGAGGGUCAGAGUUGCAGGGGAUGGUGGGCAGCACUUCCGAGGGGGCAGGGCUCCCUGGAGCCAAUGGACCGGACACUGGCUUGAAUUCAGCAUUGGAUGCCCCCAGUCCAGCAUCCUUCAGCCUGGUGGGACCCGUGUUGCCUGUCCCCAGGGGCUGGCCUGGCGCUGACCUGGGGCUGCCGGCAGCAGAGGGGAGCGUAGCUGGCGUGGCAGAGCAGGCACUGGGAGGAGGUGGUAACAGGGAUGGAGGUGAGCCAUCCCUGAGCUCUGCUCUGGGCAGCGGGACAGUGGCUGGGAUGAAUCAGCUGCCUGAUGCUGGGUCCCUGUCCAGUCCUGCCUCUGCCAAUGGCAUGGCUGCAGCAUCUUCAGUUUUGGAGACUGCUAGUGUGAGUAACCUUAGAGGAGUGCCCAGUGCUCCUGGCUUUUCUCAGCCUGCCCCAGCGAGUGUUGAGCCUGGGGUCCCUCCUGCCACAGGAGAAGCAGAUAAACUGGCCAAGGCCAUCCCUGGUGAUGGAGCAUCCCCUGGGGAGUCCCAGGGCCCUGCUGUGGAGGGAACAUCUGGUUCGGGAGCCCCUGAUGGAACAGUAAGAGCUGCGGAGCACUCUGCACCCUCCUCUCUGUCUGUUGAAGGGUCUUCAUCACUUGGGACAGCCGGCAUGGCUACAGCAGGAGCAGGCCUUACCGGCGUUAGUGGAGGAGCCGAUGGUUCGAACACUGGCUCAGCUGCUUCUGGCCCAGGGUCUUCAGACCCCGAGGGCGCUCCCGUGUCUGUCCCUGGCAUCCAGAGUGGUUCAGAUCUUGGAUCUUCUGAUGCAAAACUGAGCCAAGUCAACGUGGUGGAGCUGCCUGGAGGAGAAACAGGAGUCUCAGCUGAUGAUGAAGCUUCCCUUAGUGCCAGUUUAGGAGAUGGGGCAGGAGCUGUCAAACAAAUAGCAUCGGGAGUGCUGGCCCCAUCUGCCUUUGCCUCCCCGCAGCAGAUGCAGACCCUGGUCCCAUCGGCUCUGGACACCGGCGUUGCCACUGCUGGCAUUGCCAGCUUGCUGGGCUCUUCUCUGCUGCUCCCUGGGCAUGGACUUGGUGCAUUGCCUGCCGCCUCGGGAGGCAUGGGGGAAAGCUCAGGGCUGGCACCUAAUGAGAAUCCCCCCUUUCCCUCCAGUAUCCAGAGUGGAAGCAGCUUGGCGGCAGCGGGCACACCGCUGGCUGCAGCAAAGGUGCUCAAUUUGCCACUGCCUGAAGCUGAAACCGUCCUUCCUUGGUCUCCCAAUGACGAGACGGCCUCAGGAAUGCCAGCACCUUCGGGAGAAGAGCCCCCGGCUGUCCCCGCAUCUCCCAACGUGGGCCCGGCUGUGCCUCCUGCUGCCGAGGGGCUGUCUGCUGGCUCCAGAUUUUCCUCUCCAGUUUUGACAAGCGACCUGACGGCRGGACCCUCUGUGCUGGAAAAGGGAGAUCUCAGGGCAGCCUCCUCAAUUCCUGCUGGACCUGCCCUGCUCCUGCCCCCUCCCCAGCCCAAAAGCCCUGGGGUCCCAUCCGUCUCUGUGGCUGCUGAAGGGAGAGGGGAUACAAACAGCCCAGGGGAGCUGAGUCCCGGGCUCCCCAGCAUGGCACCAGGGCCGGGUGCCGCAGCUUGGCUGCCUCCCGGAAUGGCCAUGGAGCCCCCUGCUCAGCCCUCGCUGGAGCAAGGGCCAGCAGGAGGAGGGUCCUCUGGCCUUGCUCCCAUCAGGAUUGCUGCUGGGAGCCCCACAACAAAAAUCCUGGGACCAGGAUCUGCUGGCGGUUCGUCACCUGUGGCCCUGCAGUCCUCYGGGGGCAGCAAGGCGAUUGCUGGCCUCACCAAUGCAGUCGCUGCUGGCUCUGCUGCUGCUGGAUCAAGUGUCCCCGCAGCCUUCCCAGGCCAGGGAGCAGCCCGGGGAGGACCACCAGCAACCGCGUGCCUGGCCGUGUCCUGCAGCCCCGCGGCUGCUGGCCCGGCCUCACCAGCCCUGCUCCGCAGUGGCGCAAAGGUGCUCCCGAGGCCAGGAGCGAACGGGGCAGCUGCUCUCCUCCCCCAGGCAUCAUCCACCGUGCUUCCAGCUCCGCUGGGAGGGCCCGCAGCCCCGCUGUCUGUGACCGCAGGUAAGGGAUGUGUGUGUGGGUGA
ensembl:lncRNA